CUAAGUGGGAACAUAAAGCCGGACUUUUCGCAAUAGACCAUCCAACAAUUUCAUUUCAAUAAUCAAAAGUAUCUAGGUGGGAACAUUAGCAGAUGAAAAAUGCCAAAUUGAAAGCAGUAACUCGGCAAUAAUCAAGAAUAUAACAGGAAGCCAAAAACUAGAAAGUGGGAACAUCAAGCCAACUUUUUUUUUUUUUUAAUUCUGUAAAUUCGCCAAAAAAAAGAAAAUCAAGAUGCUUUUCCGGUUUUCCCGAUUGCUCUUCUGGGAUCUUCUGUAUGUUUUCGUAGAGAGGGAGAGGGAGAGAGAGAGAGACAGACUGUGAAAGAAAAAAAAAGGAGUGAUCGAUCUAGAUAUAAAAACUGUGAGGAGAUCUGAAAUUCAGGGUUUGUUUUGGGUUGCUCGGGUUUUGGUAUGUAGAGAGAGAGAGAGAGAGAGACUGUGAAAGGAAAAAAAAAGAGUGAUCGAUCUAGAUUUAGAAACUGUGAAAGGAGAGGAGAAGAGGGAUUUGAGUGUAGGUUUGUUUUGGCUUGCUCGGGGAAAUUUGAAGUUUAGUGGUCCUGUUGGAGGGUGGUGUGGAACGAGAAGAGGUUUACUUUCAGUAUCACAACAUAUUCACUUUUGGUGUGCAAACAAUUAUCUAUAUUGUAAGUUUGGGCUGAUUAUGAAGAUAUCAGGAACAGUGUGCGAUCCAAAAUUUGAAAGUGCUUUCAACUUGGAGAUGGAAGAUAAAAGAGGAAUAGAGGAAAGGGGAAGAUCUCGGCGAUAAUAGACCGGCUGGAAGUUAUUUUCUCUUUCAAAGUGCAAACACUGAGGUCAAAAGAGGGGACGACAAAUCAAUUGGAUAAUUAUGUCGGGGGUAUUGUUCGUGCUUCAGUUUGGGAUUUGAGUGAUUGAGUGGAGGAGGUUCAAGGUAGGUUUGAUGGGCGAGGCACGGUCACUCCAAAGGGAUCUUAAUUGAAUUACUGACACUGCAAAUACUUACUCCAAAGGGUUUGAGCUAUAUUUUGACAGGUGAACUAUCAGUUAUCCUCUUCCCAUUUGAUUUUGAUUUGUUUUCUUUUAUAUGCAGUAUACCUUUUUCUUUUUUUGUCUGGAUUUGUUUGAGAAAAGGCACAGAGAUAGAGAGAGAAUUGAUAGAUUAGAGAGAGAAUUGUUUGGGUAGAUUAGAGAGAAGAAGAGGGAUCUGAGUUUGGGUUGCUCGGUGGAAUUUGAAGUUUAGUGAUCCUGCUGAAAGGGGGUGUGCAAGGAGAAGAGGUAAUUGUUUAUAGUGAUUGAUUGCUAUACAUAAAAUUCUUCUUCUUUCUUAAUCUGCUGUUUGAGUCUGUCUGAAAGUGAUUAAAUUUAUCUUUGUGAGUUGGAAUGAAUUUGUUUUGUAGUAUUUAAUCAUUUUGAAGAACAAGUUUUUCUUUUGUUUGCUUCUGGUAUGUUUGAAUGAAUAUUUUAAGUUCCAUCUCUGAUAAUUUGAAAAAGGUAAGAGGAAAAGAAUAGAACAAGGUUGGAAUGUUGUGGAUUGCAGUUAAAUUUUUUUUUCUAUUAUUUUUAUAUGCUCUUCUUAGAUUUGGACUACUUCCAAAUAGAGGUGAGCAUAUAGACUCUUGGUUAAUCUUGAAGAUGACAGCUAAAUGAAAUAAUUUGAAUGAGUGGUUGUUGAAAAUAUGAAUGCAAUCAUUAAACUAAUCAAAAAGUGAUGUUCAUACUGACAAGGCGUAUCGGACAUGCAUAUUAUGAGGUUGAUUGUAAUAUUUUAGUGGUAGGAUUUAAGUGUGCCACUGAUAUUAGAAACAUGAAAUGAUGUCAGAGAUCCUACAAACUAGAGCCAUGCCACUGAUAUUAGAAUUUCCAAGCCAGGUUUUGUUACUUAUUUUUCAUUUGUGGUAUUCUUUUUCUUGGUUUGUAGUAAAGUUCCUCUGUUCUUAAAAACCAAAGAAAAUAGUAGCAGAAGCUGUGGAUAGCAUUUGAACUUUAGUUAUGGUAACUUAAAAACUUUUAUUAAUUUUUGUUUUGUUAUAUCCUGUUUGUUCUUCUAUGGUAACUGGACUGUAUAUUGAAUCCAAGUACUUCCUUUGUUUGCCUCUUAGAAUAUCAAACAAAUAUGAUAAAUGUUUGGCUGUAAUUUUUAUUUGGAGGAUGAUAACCCUUGGAUUGGUAGUGCACUGAUCAUAUUAAAAGCCAAGUACUGCCAAGACUAACAGAGGAGCUAUACCUCUUAUGUGAAAAUCACUAAGAAACAAAUUCUCAGACAAAUUCAACAUGCUUUGGUCUUUCAUUUUUGUUUCCUAUACAAGAAUCAUCUUUUGUUCUGUAUAAGUUCAAUGCUCUUUCUCCA